rnacentral:tRNA from 1 species
GCAGAGAUAGCCCAGUUGGUAGAGCAAGAGACUCUUAAUCUCAGGGGCAUGGGUUCAAGCCUCACGUUGGGCA